rnacentral:lncRNA from 1 species
UCCUUUUCACUGUGGAAGAUUUGGUCCCUCAGAUGUCCUUCCAAAGAAACAAUUUGGCAUCAUUGAAUGCCUACACGCCUUUAGAAAGCUUAUAUAAUCUAAAAGAUACUACUGUUCUCUGUUAUCAACAGUUUUGAGAAGAAACUUUUUUUUCUGAGAACAACUCACAUUCAGCACUGUAAUUUGGUUGGCUACAGAUCCAGCAGUUUAAGGCUUUGAUUAAGGUCCAGUAUGCAAGGUUAGAGGAGGCCCCCAGUGGCACAGUGGGUUAAACUGCUGAGCUGCUAAAGAUGCUGACUGAAAGGUCACUGGUUCAAAUCCAGGGAGUGGGGUGAGCUCCCGCUGUUAGCUCCAGCUUCUGCCAACCUAGCAGUUCGAAAACAUGCAAAUGUGAGUAGAUCGAUAGGUACCACUCAGGUGGGAAGGUGUUGUGGUAUACCGUGCCUUUAAGCCACACUCUCUGGUUGUUACAGCUGUAAUGUAAGAACUACUGAUUGCUGGGAUAUAUAGCUUUUGUGCACCCAAAGCCUCAGCAGCCUUCCUAAUGUUUGAAUAAACUCUUUCCUACAAGACUCUGCUGGCUGUUGAGCUUCCUUCAUACGAAGAAUAUUACAUGGUGUCAGAAGUGGGAUACAAACCUCUCCUGUGCUACAACCUGGAAGCUAGCAUCCCCCGAAAAAGGAGUGUUUAGACAUGGAGUCAUUUCGUCCUCCUCCUCCCCUUGCUAUGCAAGGUAAUUUGGCUGAGAACUGGAGACGGUGGGAACAGGCCUUUCAGUUGUAUCUUGCUGCAGCGGGACUUGAGAAUGUGUCAAAGAAGCGGCAGAUAGCUAUCCUGCUACAUUGUGUGGGAGAGGAAGGAGUUUCUUUAUAUAAUACAUUUGUUUUUGCCGAGGAGAACCCGAAAGAUAUUGCAGAGGUUCUGGAACAGUUUAGGACUUAUUUUUUACCUCGGAAGAACAUUGUGUUUGAAAGGUUUUGUUUCUGGAACCAUAUGCAGAGUCCUGGAGUUACAAAUGUGCAAUUUAUUGCUGAGCUAAAACUGAAAGCAGCCAGCUGUGAAUUUGGAAUGGCAGUUAAUGAGAUGAUAAGAGAUAAAGUUGUUUUUAGUUUACAGCAAGAGAAACUGAAACAAAAGUUGUUACAAGAAGCCGAUCUUACACUUGAGAAGGCCGUGGAGAUAUGCCGGGUUGAUGAGACAACGAGAGCUCAGCUGAGAACCAUGGCAAUAACAUCGGAAGAAGGAGUGUUUGAAUUACAAGACAGCCAUGGAGAAAACAAAGAGAUUAUAACUCAAGCUCUGGGAACCAGGGAGUCAAGACACAGAGACAAUUGGAAAAAUCAGAAUAAGUGUGGUUAUUGUGGUACAGCUCAUGAACCUCGGAGAUGUCCAGCAUUUGGAAAGACCUGCAACAAGUGUGGCAAGAAAAAUCAUUAUGCCAGGUUAUGCAGGUCAAGGGUGACCAAUCCUGUGAAUAUACAAGCCAGACAACACAUUCAUGAGUUGAAUGAUUCCUAUUAACGUGCGUCAAGAUCUACAAAGAGCUCAGGAAAGACAGAAACAUUUUUAUGAUCGAACAGCAAGACCCCUCAAACCACUAAGAGGGGGAUUUAGUAUGGAUGCAAUCCAAUAAUUGCAAAGAAAGAUGGCUUCCCGCCGUUGUGAUAGAAAAAUGUAAACAGCCUCGGUCAUAUCUAAUAAAGAAUCAGGACGGUCGCGUAUAUCGGCGUAAUAGGCGUCAAUUAAAACAACGGAACCAAACACCCGAAACUACAAUUCAAGGAAAUACAACAUAUAAUGGUUCUAAAGGGAUGUCUGUGAACAAAAGUGACGCACAUGUAAUAGCAGAUAGAAAGCCAACGUAUGUGACAUCGCAUGGCAGGCCUGUGUUUGAACCUGUAAGGUACACUCCUUAGAAGGAUGGUGCUGAAGACCAUCCUCAACGGUGGGCUAAGUACUAGUGACCUCUGGCCCCAUAGAAGACAUAUUUUCUUACCUGUCUAGUGAUGUAACGAAUCUGCCAAGUUUUAAUGAGAGACUUUUGUAAUUUUGAUAUAUGAUUUUUUUAACACUUUUAUAAAAUGAAUUUUGUUUUGUCUUGUCAGAUGUGUAGUUAUUAUGUAUGAAGGGGAGAUGUGGUAUACUGUGCCUUUAAGCCACACUCUCUGGUUGUUACAGCUGUAAUGUAAGAACUACUGAUUGCUGGGAUAUAUAGCUUUUGUGCACCCAAAGCCUCAGCAGCCUUCCUAAUGUUUGAAUAAACUCUUUCCUACAAGACUCUGCUGGCUGUUGAGCUUCAUUCAUACGAAGAAUAUUACAGGUGUCAUGUAGUCAUGCCAGCCACAUGAUCUUGGAGGUGUCUAUGGACAACGUCGGCUCUUUGGCUUAGAAAUGGGGAUGAGCACCAACUCCCAGAAUUGGACACGACUGGACUUAAUGUCAGGGGAAAGCCUUUACCUAUGCAAGGUUAGAUAUGUGUAGGUCAUGCAACUUUGAAUGCAUUGGUGAAACUGAUGCUCAUUAAAGUGAAAUAGCAAACAGCUCACACGGGAGAACUUUGAACAAGUUCAGCAACACAGUCAUGAAACCCCAUUCAAGUUGCUGGAUUUCUUGAAGUUCUAUUCCUGAGAACCUAUUAUUUUGCCUUGAUCUUUCAUCUGAAGUCAUACACCUUGCUUUCCAAGGUCUCAGUUCUGACGACUUCUAUCUCAGAUACUCUUCAUGUGUUUCAGGUUCUUUGAAUGAUGUGACAUGUUUAUUUUCCCAUGACCCUUGUGCAAGCAAAUCCACAAAAUUCCUGAGGUUUUCCAUCACAGGAAAAUUGUGGCAGAGGCAAAGAUAUUUUGAUUACGUUACUCCUAAUUAAAGUAUUUUUAAAUCACCUUGCUACUUCAGCCAGCAAAAAAAGUAUAUUAAAAAACACUCAAACUCCACAAUAUAUAAUAAUAAAGCUUUUAAACAGAAAAGAAUUCUAAAUUAAAAUGUAAUAAGGUCAACAUAAAAGCCAUUUUACUGAGAACCUCAACAACAAAGCAAUACAGUUGUGAAAUGACUAAUAAAGUGCAUCAAUUAAAAGCCAUUCCAAAUAUGUAGGACCUUGAAAGACUUUGGGGGAAAAUGUCCCCAAAUUCCCACAUCGUUCUGACAUCAACCAGUUUUUAUAGGGACUGCUUUGAUGCUCUUUUUAUAUACUGUACUGGAGUUGGUGCUCUGGCAAUACUCAAGACACUUUCGUGUUCGCAUGAAUUUUUGAUAAUAUCUAAAAAGAAAUUAGCCAUGCCGUCUUAUGGUCUAUGGGAAAGCGUUCUAGAAAAAGAGGAAAGAUUCCUAUCCAGGUCAAACUUCAGAUACAUCUUCCUUGUCUAAAUAUCCUACAAGCACCAGAUCCUAUCUGAUCUUGAAUCCUAGGAAUCAAUCCUGGUUAGUACUUGGAUGGGAGAUCUACUAAGUGCUGUAGUCUAUAUUUCAGAGGAAGGAAAUGGCCAAACACCUAUGAGUAUUCCUUGUCUAAGAAAUACUGGAACCAGCUAUGAAAUCCGUCGGGCCACUAUAAGUCAACUUGAUGACAUAUACAUAAACAUAUACCUAAAAGUUGGGGAGGGGAAGCAGAGAAAUGGGGUACAGCAGAUUAGAAAGGUUUACAUGAUGUUAAGCACUCCAGGAUCCUGACCAUACAGCCAACAUGGGCUGGAAUCCAGUAUAAUUGUUUUCUGCAUUGCUAACAAGGGAAGGGAAAUAGUUCUGUUGGCAUAGAAGCAAACAAACCAUUCACCCCCCAAUGGAGAAAGAGCAUAUUCCUGCUAGUAAUAGCCUUGCAAGGAUUUGAAUAUUUUGAAAAAUCUGGCUUUGGAGCACCCUCAAAUGCACUUUGCUUCUGAUUCUCUUAUCCUGAAUUCCUUACAUAUUAAGGGAUUGUGAGCAUGGACUGCAGUUUCAUCUGUGUAGCUUAUCUCCUCUUUUUGUGGUCAUCUGGAAGACUGGAAAUCAUCAGUGGAGCAAACAUUCUCUGACCCACCAUUUCUGAUAGUGUGUAGACUGCCAUAAGGACAUACAGUAGAGUCUCACUUCUUCAACAUAAACGGGCUGGCAGAAUGUUGGAUAAGCAAAUAUGUUGGAUAAUAAGGAGGCAUUAAGGAAAAGCCUAUUAAACAUCAACUUAGGUUAUGAUUUUACAAAUUAAGCACCAAAACAUCAUGUUAGACAACAAAUUUGACAGAAAAAGUAGUUCAGUACGAAAUAACGCUAUGUAGUAUUUAUGAAUUUAGCACCAAAAUAUCAUGAUUUAUUGAAAACAUCGACUAAAAAAAUGUGUUGGAUAAUCCAGAAUGUUGGAUAAGCGGGUGUUGGAUAAGUGAGACUCUACUGUAUUUGUUAUUUAUGGGCAUGGCCAUGUCAUGAGAUGUUAAAAUACAUUUAAGGGGCUUGCAGACAACACAUUCACUUGUGGCUGGUUCUACGUACUUGAGUGAGCAUCACCCCUAAAAGCAGCCUGUCACUCUUUGCUGUGACUACAUUAAUUACUCUCAUUUCUGCUUUUCUCCAUGUAGCCCUUGUUCCUACUCUAGCCUUCUUAUCUAGGGAUGGAUAAAAAUUUCCUUCGAUUUGUUUUUUAAUAGGAACUUUUCAAAAUGCAUAGGGAUCUUUAAAAGUGUGGUGGUAAAAACGUAAGAUUAACCAAAUAUUGAAUGUGGGAGAAAGUAAAACUGACAGAUUUGUCCAUCUAGCACAUGAUCUUUAAAUCCUUUGCUCUUAAAGAAAAAGUCUAAUUCCCUGUGCAUUCAAUCAUGUUAGUACUGAAAAUGAAGAUCGCCAAUUCUGGCAUUUCUGUUUACUGACAGGAUCCUUAUCUUUAAAAGCUUUAUGGUAGGCAGGUACAACAUCAUCUGGAAGCCACUGAUUUGGGCCCAUGCAGAUGGAUCAAAGAAUGUCCUCUUUGUCGAAUAUGACUUCUUUUAUCUAGAUGUACAGAAGAAAACAAUUUAAACAAUUUGAAAAUGUGACAAAACCAUAUGGACAGAAUCACCUAUUCCUAUUUCCCCUCUUUAGCCAAGCUGAGUAUCACAACAGAAGGUUGACAUGUUACCUUUGGGGGCUUUAUCUCCCAUAAUCUCCCAGAAUUCUGGAAGUUGCAGGUCCAAAAGUCCCUUUUCUCCCAAGUUAUCUAAUAUUUACUUACUUCCCUCCCACCUCACAAAUAAUGACCAGGCAAGUUUAUGGGGAGGCCUUUUUUUUAUUUUCGUGUCAGGAGCAACUUGAGAAAUUGCAAGUCACUUCUGGUGUGAGAGAAUUGGCUGUCUUCAAAGACAUUGCCCAGGGGACAUCUGGAUGUUUUUGAUAUUUUAAUAUCCUUUUGGGAGGCUUCUUUCAUGUCCCUGCAUAAAGCUGGAGCUGACAGAGGGAGCUCAUCUGCACUCUCCCCAGGUUGGAUUUGAACUGGCAAUCUUCAGGUCAGCACCCUAACCUUCAGGUCAGCAGUCUGCCGGCACAAGGGUUUAACCCAUUGGCGCAAUGGGAAGGUAGGAUAUUAACACAGAACGUAUAAGGUAAAGAACUCACAUAGCCAUUUAAUGGAGGAAAAUGGGCCCAUUAUAUAGUUUUUAGCCUUGUAACUGUCUUCUUCUUUCUUGAACACAUCAGAAAUGUAGGAAAAUGGCAGAAACAUUGAGAAACUGGAGUUGUCAUAGCAACUGUAAGCUUCGUGGACCCAGUUUUAAAUCUCUACAAUUAAGCAGGGAAGGUGCCACAGAAUACUUUCCUGGUCACAAAAGAGUUGUUUGAAGAUGAGACAGUUAGGAAGCAUAUAGCAUUCAGGGAAGCAUACAUAACUACUGUACUGGUAUUCAUCUCACUCCGUUUUGAUGUCCUUUUUGCCAUAGGAAGUUAAAUAAAAUCUCAGUAACUAUGAGCAUUCACAUGUGAUCAGCUUCUGAACAAAGCCGGGUUUGCUGGUUACUGGGGUUUGAUCCCAGCAAUUGUGCUUCUUGUACAAAGCAGAAACCCUCAUAUGAUAGGAAGAACAAACAGGAGCAAGAAACAGUUUGGGAAAACACAUAAGAACUGACAAUAAGGUGAUUUCAAGGAAGACUUUAAGAAGAGUGUGGAGAAAAGGAUCAAGAUGACCAGCAUUACUUCCACCAAUGUCUCAAAGCCU